CCCGUCCCCGUCCCCAUCCGCCACAGCGACCGCAGGCGCGGCGCGCCUCAAAUCCCCAGCCAAUGCACGCGGCGCACUCCAGACCAAUCCAAACGUCCCGCCUCCGACAGGAAGUACUUCGCCGGCGCCGCGGUGCCGCUCCGCCCGCCCAUGUGAUCGCCGUGACCCGCGCCCCUCCCCUGUCUCUCUAUCUCUGUCCCUAUGCCUAUGGCGGGGAUGGGGCAGGAGGGGAUGGGAGUACAACAUCAAGGAGCGAGAUCUGCUCCGACUCCGGCCCGAACGUGACGACGAGGAUGGCCUUUGGUGGCGGCGGCGGCGGAUCUAGAGGACUGCUGUGCCGUGGCCGUGGUGGCCUGGUGCCUGGUGUUCACGGUUAGUCUACCGCACGCACGCUGGCUGACGGACGACGCGCUGGCCCCAUGAACCUCGAAGGACUCAAGCGACUGCUACUUGCUGUCCAGACAAUCUUGGCAACACUUGUUAGAGGUGUGGUAGUGUUCAAGCACUACUGGAGAACAAGGUAUGGUUGCUUACUAUCAAUUCAUAUGGGAGAAGGUACUGAAUGCCACUCUGCUUGUAGUUUUCUUUCAUACGCAAAAUAAAUCAGACAUGUCCAGUGUAGCAUUACUUGUGUAAGAUCGAAGUGUGCGCAAAAUACUACUUUAUCUUGUGUAAGGUUGAUGUGCACAAUGGUAGUCAUAUUUAUGAUUUUUUGCUGCUAUUUUAUUUUGUGUAGUAUCCUGAGUCCUGACCCUCGGAAUUAUUGAUGUGUGGAUGGAUUAGUUUCGGCCAGUAUGAGCCUCUGGUUAUUUGUUUAAUUUUGUCUCCAGGACGUUAUAAAUUCUGAAUUUCUGUUUGCAAAUGGCCAACCAAACUGUAAUGCUUGUUCUGGGUUUGUCUAGUUCUAGUUGUCGUUGGUAUACUGUCACCUGGACAAAAGUUAUUUGAGUUGUAAAAGCAGGCAUAUUCUCUGUAAUAAUCAUGAGCCCAUAUAUGUUAUUCUAAGUUUAACUGAAUCAUUAGGCCAUUUAUGAGUUUGGUCUCCCAAAUUGUGACAUGAACCACCUCAUGAUUCAGUUUCGUGGUGUGGUCCAUCCAAUCAUUUUACUAGCAAAAUAAAAUUUACUGACUGUUGUUUGUACGAACAUGUUCAUGAGGAAGUGUUCUGUACUGUUCAAUUUACCAGCUAAAGAGUUCUAGUUGUGUCCCUAUUUUAGAUGCGUAUAUUUAGCAGUUUCUCCUGAACUGAACACUGAAAUCUGAAGCCCGAGCACUGUUGGUAGUGCUAAUCCAACCAGGCCAGCUGAUGCUGCUGCCUGGAAGGAAAAAGCUUGUACUGCAGUUCCUGGUAAGAUUGUGCAGCUCAUUUAGCAAAGUGAAUUGACAUGGACACAAUUUCAGGAUAUACAUGAAGGUAUUUUGACUUUGAUUAGAAAGUACCAUGUUUGUCUGAAUAUUAGGACUCUCGGUUUGAUCUGUUUUUCCCUGAUCCCUUCUAUUUUACCAACUGUAUGUCAGACACAUCUAUGGUUUUCACACUAUAUCUUUUACAUUAGAUUUUUGUGUACAUGCCAAAUGGUGACAAUUGCAUUUUCUGGGAUACAAGUGGGACUUUUGCACAAGUUACUCCAAUAUGGAGAUUUUGGAACUCAUGCAAGAUUAGCAUUUCUACAAUAUUUUCUACCUUGUGAAGAUGUUAUCUUGCCUCUUAUAUGGUAGGAAUUCUGUAGGCCUUAGCACAAGUUUAAAUGCAAUGCUUGAAUCUGUUCCCCUUAGCUCACGGAAUGUCGAAUACUUUGAUAAGGCAAUAUUUAUAGUUUUGGUAAUUCAAAGUUAUGUCUAUGUAUGCUGUUCUCGAUAGUUCAGAGCUAGACAAGUGGCAGUUCAAAUUUUCACUUGCAUCAUUACAGUAAUUUCUGCACCAAAAGCAUUUGGGUUCAACUUUAUUUGAUGACUGAAAAUUUGGUUAGUAACCUGGAGUGCAUGUGCUGUUUGUACUGUUUCUCAUUUUGCAAUAAAUAAUCAGAGAUGUCAUCUUGGGACUAACAUGUAUUCUCUGAGUCAUUAUCUAAGCAGGGCCAUGGGUUCUCUGAGUCAUAAUCAGAGAUGUCACAUAGCUUGUUUGUGUCCAUGAUUUUUCUUUGUUUGUAUCUUCAACCGCCAAGUUCCCAGAACUUGUUAGAUAAUAUUUGUUCAACUUAAUUCUUCCAGAAUCUAUGCAAAUUUUCUUUGAGAUUCAGCUUUCGAAUGUAAUUGUGUAUACAUGCGAAGUUUAUGUUUAUGCUUUAAAAUUUAUUGGUGGUUCUUUCUGGCUGCAGGUUGCUACUUUCAAAACAAGGCCGUGGAAGAUUUCUAAUUCAAGUGAAAAGCAUGAAAGUGAAAGCUCUCAUGUUUGAUUCCAGGCCUAACUUUGAUAGUGUCUUUCCAGUAGAAUGAUUUUGGUACUGUACAUAGGUUUGUAGCAAAAUAUAUAUUGAAAGUGUACUUUGUGACUUGAGAUUGGCCUAUUUGAAUUUGGAUGCGUCACUGUUGAUAUUGAAAGUGUACUUAGUGAUUUGAGAUUGGGCUACGCUGAGCCAUGUUCUUUUUAAUUUUAGGCUGUAAAAUCUAUGAAAAAAAUAAAAUUCGAAAUGAGUUGGGCCUCUAGUGGGAUUAGCCAGCUCAUAA